UGGGGAAUUUUGGACAAUGGGCGCAAGCCUGAUCCAGCAAUGCCGCGUGCAGGAUGAAGGCCUUCGGGUUGUAAACUGCUUUUGUACGGAGCGAAAAGGUCUGCCCUAAUACGGUGGGCUCAUGACGGUAACAGGAGAAGAAGCCCCGGCUAACUCCGUGCCAGCAGCCGCGGUAAGACGGAGGGGGCUAGCGUUGUUCGGAAUUACUGGGCGUAAAGCGUGCGCAGGCGGUUAUAUAAGACAGAUGUGAAAUCCCCGGGCUCAACCUGGGACCUGCAUUUGUGACUGUAUAGCUAGAGUACGGUAGAGGGGGAUGGAAUUCCGCGUGUAGCAGUGAAAUGCGUAGAUAUGCGGAGGAACACCGAUGGCGAAGGCAAUCCCCUGGACCUGUACUGACGCUCAUGCACGAAAGCGUGGGGAGCAUACA
rnacentral:rRNA from 1 species